rnacentral:rRNA from 1 species
AGAGUUUGAUCCUGGCUCAGGAUGAACGCUAGCUACAGGCUUAACACAUGCAAGUCGAGGGGCAGCAUGGUCUUAGCUUGCUAAGGCUGAUGGCGACCGGCGCACGGGUGAGUAACACGUAUCCAACCUGCCGUCUACUCUUGGCCAGCCUUCUGAAAGGAAGAUUAAUCCAGGAUGGGAUCAUGAGUUCACAUGUCCGCAUGAUUAAAGGUAUUUUCCGGUAGACGAUGGGGAUGCGUUCCAUUAGAUAGUAGGCGGGGUAACGGCCACCUAGUCAACGAUGGAUAGGGGUUCUGGAGAGGAACGGUCCCCCAACAUUAGGAACUGAGACACGGUCCAAACUCCUACGGGAGCA